GAUGAACGCUAGCUACAGGCUUAACACAUGCAAGUCGAGGGGCAGCAUGAACUUAGCUUGCUAAGUUUGAUGGCGACCGGCGCACGGGUGAGUAACACGAAUCCAACCUGCCGAUGACUCGGGGAUAGCCUUUCGAAAGAAAGAUUAAUACCCGAUGGCAUAGUUCUUCCGCAUGGUAGAACUAUUAAAGAAUUUCGGUCAUCGAUGGGGAUGCGUUCCAUUAGGUUGUUGGCGGGGUAACGGCCCACCAAGCCUUCGAUGGAUAGGGGUUCUGAGAGGAAGGUCCCCCACAUUGGAACUGAGACACGGUCCAAACUCCUACGGGAGGCAGCAGUGAGGAAUAUUGGUCAAUGGACGAGAGUCUGAACCAGCCAAGUAGCGUGAAGGAUGACUGCCCUAUGGGUUGUAAACUUCUUUUAUACGGGAAUAAAGUGAGGCACGUGUGCCUUUUUGUAUGUACCGUAUGAAUAAGGAUCGGCUAACUCCGUG
rnacentral:rRNA from 1 species